GCAAAUCUUUAAUAAAAAAAGGAUCCAAUCUUGAUUUUAAAAUGAUCCGUUAUGGAGAAUCCCCCAUGACCAUUGGUAAAUUGUUCCAGGGGUUAGUUACUGUCACUGUUCAAAAUUUACACGCUAUUUCCAGUCUGGAUAGAAAUUGAAACAUUCAACAUUCAUUGGAUCGUGUCAUACUUUUCUCUGUGAGAUUGGAGAGCUCAUUAUUAAAUAUUUGUUCCCCAUGUAGGUACUUUGUCAGGCACUUAGAUGCUAUAGUGAUGAGCGCUAUAGAAAAGCCCAUGAGGAAAUUAAUAAUUCUAUCUCCAGAGCAGGUUUUGAAUAGUGUGCAGUAAAUAAGGCCUAAAGCAUUGAACAAUGAGGAGAAAACAAAAUAUUGAAUAGUUGCUCAUUAAUUGAGCACUGUCCAGUCUGUGUACUGAAUCCGGAAGGGAACAAACUGUAUAUGAUUGUGCAAUUAAAGACUCUGUGCUAAAGCGUACCCACCAGGAGGCUGAAAUAGGGUUUCUCCAGCAACCUUAAUUCUGGCUUUUCCUAAUUUUCAAAUGUUAGAUUUUGCAAACUGAACAUUUCUUUAAUGGAGUUUUUUUUAAUGUAAUCUGAUAUAGAGCAGGUAACUUGGAAUGAAGGAACAAUGGGAGAAUCAAUGAAAUUGAAAUGUCACACAUUUUGAACUGAGAAAUUAUUUUACAGAAUGGAUAACUUGUGGAAUUCAUUGCAAUAAGACAUUGUUUUGAGGCCAAGAGGUCAGUAGGAUUUAGAAAAGGCUGUGUUUUUUAUAUGGAUAAUAAGAACAUCCACAGUACUUUUUAAAAAAGAAAAAAAGUACAUGGUAUAUGAGCCCUUAUGCUUCAGAGCAUAAGACAACCAGUAGCUGAUGGAGAUCAGUAAGAAACUUUCCCUAUGUGUGAGGUAUUCAUUGAUUGUACACUAUAGGAUUUCCUGCAACUUCCCCUGAAGCAUCAGGUACUGGUCACUGUCAGAGACGGAAUACUGAAUAAAAGGACCCUGGAGUGAUAUCUGUGGCAAUUCCUAUAUGCCUUAAAAGCUUCAGUUGGCCAAAAUAUUGUUUUUCCCUUUAAAGGGGUGUCUUUUUAUCUCUCAUGUUACUUCAAGCUGAUGCUUAAACUGCUCAGUUAAGCUACAGCACAUCCUUGGUAUUGUUGCCUCACUGACUGAUAAUUUGCCAUCUUUAUCCAUGUGAAAAGGUAAAAUAGUAACACCAAGUGGAAGCUCCUGCACACAGCCCCAAUCUGGAAGGAUGGCAGAACAACUGUGCUCACUGUCUCCUGAGUUUUCUACUGAGACUGUCACUUCAUACCAGUUGUGAUGUGGAUACCUGCCCACUAGGAAUUGGACAGAGACCGUCUAAUUUCAGACAGGCCAUUUUCAUCAUUCAGAGGAUGGGAAGGACUUUCAGUCACCACUCACUGCCAAGCAGGGCUGGAUUCAGACCCCACAGAAAAGCCUUAGUAUUUUAUUACCAAGCAUCCAAGUGCAACAGGUUCAGUGGAAACAAUUGUCUUCUGCCUGCCUACUCCUCCUUAUGCAAGGGCAGUUCUCACUCUUCAUCUGCCAACUCCUGCUACGUACUAAAUCAAAGCCCAAGGAGCUUCCCUGGCAGGCCUCUUUGAACAGGACAUUGCAACCCAGCAGCCCCCUGCUCUCAAGGUUUUGUCUGCAGAUGGGCAGGACGUAAGGCGAGCCUUGACU